GGCAACCCUGACGGAGCAACGCCGCGUGGGGGAGGAAGGUCUGUGGAUUGUAAACUCCUUUUCUCUAGGAAGAAGUUCUGACGGUACUAGAGGAAUCAGCAUCGGCUAACUCCGUGCCAGCAGCCGCGGUAAGACGGAGGAUGCAAGCGUUAUCCGGAAUUAUUGGGCGUAAAGGGUCCGCAGGUGGCCACUCAAGUCUGCUGUCAAAGGUCGGAGCUCAACUCCGGAAAGGCGGUGGAAACUGGGAGGCUAGAGUCCGGUAGGGGUAGAGGGAAUUCCCAGUGUAGCGGUGAAAUGCGUAGAUAUUGGGAAGAACACCAGUGGCGAAGGCGCUCUGCUGGGCCAUAACUGACGCUGAGGGACGAAAGCUAGGGGAGCG
rnacentral:rRNA from 1 species